UGCAAUAAGAUAUAGACGGUGAUUGGAGUCGUUUCUCUUUUUGCUUCCAGAGGGAGCUCAAACCUGAAGCAUCAAGGUUAUCUUUUUCCAAAGGAUUUGUGUGAACCUAAGUUCGGUACCUGCGACGAGUAAAAACACUUAUUUGACCCUCUAGAGACUCAGCUAGAACUGACUGAGCAAAGGGAAAUCGGGCAAAAGAAAGGGAAGGUACUGAGGAGAAAACGGCAGAUGUUGUUAUCUCCCGCUGAGAGGCGCGGCCGGCGGGGCCGGAUCCUCCGCUUCCCGCGACUGCCGGAGUCGCGCUGGACUAGGCUGACCGCGCAGGGCGGCGAGGCUGGAAGGGAGGUCUCCGCCCGACAAUGCGCAGGUGCCAGAGGAGCCAGGAGGAGUGAGAAGCGCCCUAGACCCGCGGCCUCAAGCGCCAUGCACGUCAAGGGGAAGUGACUCCGGAGUUGUGCCAGGAAGAACACCAAGAACGAGCUGUGCGUUUUUGCGCAGAGAAGUAGUCUUCGCAAGACCGCAGCUCCCUGCCGAAGGCCCAGAAAGGGAGUGCGGGGGAGAGGGCAAACUAGUGAGUUUGGCUGGCAGUGCUCCCCCGACACACCCCACUUUCUUUUCCUGCCACUCCAGACUCCUUCCCGGCAGCGGGCCUCCAGAACCCCUUGUUGGUAAAGGCGAGGUGCUGUGGGGAUGCAGGAUAUGGAAUUAGGGAAUUCGGGACGGAAACGUAGCGUUUAGGACAAAGGGGAUUCACUGGGGACUUCCGCGGCCUUUGCCCAGAUGCGCCUUUCCACCCUUUCUCACUCCAGUCACUCCCGAGGACUUGGGGCACGACUAUCACACGCAACUGGGAGAUCCUGGAAGACGGAGGAAAAACGAACAAGGGGACAUGGCCCUCACUGCAGUGACAGGGCUUUCCUUCAGUCAGUGGCCACAAUAAAUUUAACCAAGGCUAAAGGAGAUUAAUUUCCCAGCAUAAUCCAAUUAAAAGAUUUCUAAAGUAA